rfam:Picea glauca, whole genome shotgun sequence.
AAAAAGGCCCUUUUCAGGGCCACCAAUACAAUUCAAACGAACCAA